GUCGAGCGGUAGCACAGAGAGCUUGCUCUCGGGUGACGAGCGGCGGACGGGUGAGUAAUGUCUGGGAAACUGCCUGAUGGAGGGGGAUAACUACUGGAAACGGUAGCUAAUACCGCAUAACGUCGCAAGACCAAAGUGGGGGACCUUCGGGCCUCAUGCCAUCAGAUGUGCCCAGAUGGGAUUAGCUAGUAGGUGGGGUAACGGCUCACCUAGGCGACGAUCCCUAGCUGGUCUGAGAGGAUGACCAGCCACACUGGAACUGAGACACGGUCCAGACUCCUACGGGAGGCAGCAGUGGGGAAUAUUGCACAAUGGGCGCAAGCCUGAUGCAGCCAUGCCGCGUGUAUGAAGAAGGCCUUCGGGUUGUAAAGUACUUUCAGCGGGGAGGAAGGCGAUAAGGUUAAUAACCUUGUCGAUUGACGUUACCCGCAGAAGAAGCACCGGCUAACUCCGUGCCAGCAGCCGCGGUAAUACGGAGGGUGCAAGCGUUAAUCGGAAUUACUGGGCGUAAAGCGCACGCAGGCGGUCUGUCAAGUCGGAUGUGAAAUCCCCGGGCUCAACCUGGGAACUGCAUUCGAAACUGGCAGGCUAGAGUCUUGUAAAGGGGGGUAGAAUUCCAGGUGUAGCGGUGAAAUGCGUAAAGAUCUGGAGGAAUACCGGUGGCGAAGGCGGCCCCCUGGACAAAGACUGACGCUCAGGUGCGAAAGCUUGGGGAGCAAACAGGAUUAGAUUCCCUGGUAGUCCACCCCGUAAACGAUGUCGAUUUGGAGGUUGUGCCCUUGAGGCKUGGCUUCCGGAGCUAACSCGUUAAAUCGACCGCCUGGGGAAGUACGGCCGCAAGGUUAAAACUCAAAUGAAUUGACGGGGGCCCGCACAAGCGGUGGAGCAUGUGGUUUAAUUCGAUGCAACGCGAAGAACCUUACCUGGUCUUGACAUCCACAGAACUUAGCAGAGAUGCUUUGGUGCCUUCGGGAACUGUGAGACAGGUGCUGCAUGGCUGUCGUCAGCUCGUGUUGUGAAAUGUUGGGUUAAGUCCCGCAACGAGCGCAACCCUUAUCCUUUGUUGCCAGCGGUUAGGCCGGGAACUCAAAGGAGACUGCCAGUGAUAAACUGGAGGAAGGUGGGGAUGACGUCAAGUCAUCAUGGCCCUUACGACCAGGGCUACACACGUGCUACAAUGGCAUAUACAAAGAGAAGCGACCUCGCGAGAGCAAGCGGACCUCAUAAAGUAUGUCGUAGUCCGGAUUGGAGUCUGCAACUCGACUCCAUGAAGUCGGAAUCGCUAGUAAUCGUAGAUCAGAAUGCUACGGUGAAUACGUUCCCGGGCCUUGUACACACCGCCCGUCACACCAUGGGAGUGGGUUGCAAAAGAAGUAGGUAGCU
rnacentral:rRNA from 1 species